UAAGGACCCGCGGUGUUCAGAUUCAAAGCCAGUUCUCCCAGAGCCCUCAGCCUGUCUCUCCACCUCCCCCAGUGCGCCGGACACAAGGACUGCAGAUGUUCUGGGGGACCCAGCAGAUGGGGUGGCCCACAGGCUGACCUGCGCUCCUGCUGCUGCACCAGAGUCUCUGAGUGAUGUCCGGGGACACACAGCAGAGCUGAGAGAGUUCCUGGUGUAGGCCCUCUGCAUGUAGGAUAACAGUGAACAUCUUCAGAAAGAUUCAGAGAGAGAGAAAGAGCGAAAGAUACUGGUUGAAAAUCGGCAGCGGAUGCCGCCGUCACCGAGACCCCUCCAGGAGCCCGUGUCUGCAGUGAACGGGAAGGAAGGAGGAGACCUGCCUCCCUGCUGGAGAGAGAGUUUCCUCAAUCGGUUGCCUCCUGUACGCACCCGGACUGGGGAUCGGCACCUGGACCUUGGAUUGUACGCGCCUGUGCCCGCACCUGGACUGGGGAUCAAACAUGCA